rnacentral:rRNA from 1 species
AUUGAACGCUGGCGGCAGGCCUAACACAUGCAAGUCGAACGGUAACAGGGAUCAGCUUGCUGAUUCGCUGACGAGUGGCGGACGGGUGAGGAAUGUCUGGGAAACUGCCUGAUGGAGGGGGAUAACUACUGGAAACGGUAGCUAAUACCGCAUAACGUCGCAAGACCAAAGAGGGGGACCUUCGGGCCUCUUGCCAUCGGAUGUGCCCAGAUGGGAUUAGCUAGUAGGUGGGGUAACGGCUCACCUAGGCGACGAUCCCUAGCUGGUCUGAGAGGAUGACCAGCCACACUGGAACUGAGACACGGUCCAGACUCCUACGGGAGGCAGCAGUGGGGAAUAUUGCACAAUGGGCGCAAGCCUGAUGCAGCCAUGCCGCGUGUAUGAAGAAGGCCUUCGGGUUGUAAAGUACUUUCAGCGGGGAGGAAGGGAGUAAAGUUAAUACCUUUGCUCAUUGACGUUACCCGCAGAAGAAGCACCGGCUAACUCCGU